AUCCCGGCACGGGGAGGUAGUGACGAAAAAUAACGAUACGGGACUCAUCCGAGGCCCCGUGAUCGGAAUGAGCACACUUUAAAUCCUUUAACUAGGAUCAAUUGGAGGGCAAGUCUGGUGCCAGCAGCCGCGGUAAUUCCAGCUCCAAUAGCGUAUAUUAAAGUUGCUGCGGUUAAAAAGCUCGUAGUCGAAAUUGUGUCCCGGGCCGCCGGUUCGUCGCUCGCGACGCCAACUGGCGCGCACGCGGGACGUCCAGCCGGUACUACGAACCCGCCGACGGUGCUCUUAACCGAGUGUCCAGGCGGGGGCCGGCAAUGUUACUUUGAACAAAUUAAAGUGCUCAAAGCAGGCUAAACUGCGCUCGUAUAAUACGUGCAUGGAAUAAUCGAAUAGGACCUCUGUUCUAUUUUGUUGGUUUUUGUGGAACGCACAGAGGUAAUGAUCAAUGGGUGCGGAUGGGGGCAUUCGUAUUGCGACGUUAGAGGUGAAAUUCUUGGAUCGUCGCAAGACGCACCAAAGCGAAAGCAUUUGCCAAAAACGCUUUCAUCGAUCAAGAACGAAAGUUAGAGGUUCGAAGGCGAUCAGAUACCGCCCUAGUUCUAACCAUAAACUAUGCCAGCCAGCGAUCCGCCGCAGUUACUACUAUGACUCGGCGGGCAGCUUCCGGGAAACCAAAGCUUUUGGGUUCCGGGGGAAGUAUGGUUGCAAAGCUGAAACUUAAAGGAAUUGACGGAAGGGCACCACCAGGAGUGGAGCCUGCGGCUUAAUUUGACUCAACACGGGAAACCUCACCAGGCCCGGACACCGAAAGGAUUGACAGAUUGAGAGCUCUUUCUUGAUUCGGUGGGUGGUGGUGCAUGGCCGU
rnacentral:rRNA from 1 species